GUGACUCGGGCACAGCUGGAGACUCUUCAAACAGAGAAUCACAGUCUGAAGGAUCUCCUGCAGAGACUCGUGACUCAGACACCCAAGAGGGGCGAUUCCUCGCUUGCAUCGCUGAAGGAGAGUUAUGCAUCUUCUCUGAGCAGUCUGGAAGGUCAGAAUCUACAGUUACAGCGGCAACUUUCUGAGGCACAAACCCAACUUGAGCUCUCCAAUCGGACGUGG